UACGGGGGGAGCAAGCGUUGUUCGGAUUUACUGGGCGUAAAGGGCGCGUAGGCGGUCGUGACAAGUCACUUGUGAAAUCUCCGGGCUUAACUCGGAACGGUCAAGUGAUACUGUCGGACUAGAGUACAGAAGGGGCAACUGGAAUUCUCGGUGUAGCGGUGAAAUGCGUAGAUAUCGAGAGGAACACCUGCGGCGAAGGCGGGUUGCUGGGCUGAUACUGACGCUGAGGCGCGAAAGCCCAGGGGA
rnacentral:rRNA from 1 species